AUGAACCCGGCGGGAGAGUCCGGGUGGUCUUGUUACGUUCUGAAGAUCUCCCGGCGCCGAAGGAGCAACGGCCCCGGAACCUCUCAGGCAAAAGGACCGCCGGGGGAUC
rnacentral:ncRNA from 1 species